rnacentral:rRNA from 1 species
GGGGAAUUUUUGACAAUGGGGGCAACCCUGAUCAAGCAACGCCGCGUGGAGGAUGAAGACCCUCGGGUCGUAAACUCCUGUCGGAGGGGACGAAAGCGGUCGCAGCGAAUACCUGCGAUCGUUGACGGUACCCUACGAGGAAGCCCCGGCUAACUCCGUGCCAGCAGCCGCGGUAAUACGGGGGGGGCAAGCGUUACUCGGAAUUACUGGGCGUAAAGCGUGCGUAGGUGGUUCGUUAAGUCCGAUGUGAAAGCCCUGGGCUCAACCUGGGAAUGGCAUUGGAUACUGGCGGGCUAGAGUGCGGUAGAGGGCAGUGGAAUUCCCGGUGUAGCAGUGAAAUGCGUAGAGAUCGGGAGGAACAUCUGUGGCGAAGGCGACUGCCUGGACCAGCACUGACACUGAGGCACGAAAGCGUGGGGAGCAA